rnacentral:rRNA from 1 species
UACAGAGGUGGCAAGCGUUGUUCGGAAUUACUGGGCGUAAAGGGCGCGUAGGCGGCCUUCUAAGUCAGACGUGAAAUCCCUCGGCUUAACCGGGGAACUGCGUCUGAUACUGGAUGGCUUGAGUGUGGGAGAGGGAUGCGGAAUUCCAGGUGUAGCGGUGAAAUGCGUAGAUAUCUGGAGGAACACCGGUGGCGAAGGCGACGUCCUGGACCGGCAUUGACGCUGAGGCGCGAAAGCCAGGGGAGCAAACGGG